CCUACGGGUGGCAGCAGUGGGGAAUAUUGGGCAAUGGAGGAAACUCUGACCCAGCAACGCCGCGUGAAGGAUGAAGGUUUUCGGAAUGUAAACUUCUGUUGCGAGGGAUGAAGAAUGACGGUACCUCGUGAGGAAGCCCCGCCAAACUACGUGCUAGCAGCCGCGGUAAUAGGUAGGGGGCAACCGUUGUCCGGAAUGACUGGGCGUAAAGGAAGUGUAGGCGGCCUGUUAAGUUUUAUGUGAAAGCCCCGGGCUUAACCGAGGAACUGCAUAUAAAACGGUACGGCUGGAGUGCAGGAGAGGUAAGCGGAAUUUCUAGUGUAGCGGUGGAAUGCGUAGAUAUUAGGAAGAACACCGGAGGCGAAGGCGGCUUACUGGACUGUAACUGACGCUGAGGCUCGAAAGCGUGGGGAGCAAACAGGAUUAGAUACCCGAGUAGUC
rnacentral:rRNA from 1 species